rnacentral:misc_RNA from 1 species
GGAAUAUUGGUCAAUGGGCGAGAGCCUGAACCAGCCAAGUCGCGUGAGGGAAGACGGUACUAAGUAUUGUAAACCUCUUUUGUCAGGGAACAAAGAGACCACGUGUGGUAAGAUGAGUGUACCUGAAGAAAAAGCAUCGGCUAACUCCGUGCCAGCAGCCGCGGUAAUACGGAGGAUGCGAGCGUUAUCCGGAUUUAUUGGGUUUAAAGGGUGCGUAGGCGGC